UACGGGGGGGGCAAGCGUUGUUCGGAAUUACUGGGCGUAAAGGGCUCGUAGGCGGCCAACUAAGUCAGACGUGAAAUCCCUCGGCUUAACCGGGGAACUGCGUCUGGUACUGGAUGGCUUGAGAUUGGGAGAGGGAUGCGGAAUUCCAGGUGUAGCGGUGAAAUGCGUAGAUAUCUGGAGGAACACCGGUGGCGAAGGCGGCAUCCUGGACCAACACUGACGCUGAGGAGCGAAAGCCAGGGGAGCAAACGGG
rnacentral:rRNA from 1 species